UCUCAGAUAUUAAUGAAAAAAAGGAAAGUUCUACCAUGAUAAUUCUCUAUAGCUGUCUUACUGGUCUUUUGGGAAUACUUGGAUUUUCACUUUCCAUCUAUCUCUGGAGGUUCUGUGGAAGCAGCAAAAGAAAAAUCCCUGCAACUACAAAUAUAGAAACAGUUUCAGAACAAACCAUCCAGGAAAAUGAUGUGGAACCAUAUGCCAUCUUUGUGCAAGUGGAAAAU